GACGAACGCUGGCGGCAUGCUUAACACAUGCAAGUCGAACGGAAAGGCCCUGCUUUUGUGGGGUGCUCGAGUGGCGAACGGGUGAGUAACACGUGAGUAACCUGCCCUUGACUUUGGGAUAACUUCAGGAAACUGGGGCUAAUACUGGAUAGGAGCUCCUGCUGCAUGGUGGGGGUUGGAAAGUUUCGGCGGUUGGGGAUGGACUCGCGGCUUAUCAGCUUGUUGGUGGGGUAGUGGCUUACCAAGGCUUUGACGGGUAGCCGGCCUGAGGGGGUGACGGGCACGCAGGGGGCUACGACACGCCCCAAGACGAAAGGGGAGGCAGAGGGGGGAAAUAUGGUGCAGGGGGGGGAACCGUGGGGGGCGAACGCCCGGGGGGGGACGAGGGCCUUCGGGUUGAAACCCGCUUUCCCCUGGGAGGAGGGUGGGGGGAGGGUACUGGUGAAAAAACAACCGCCAACGUAGGG
rnacentral:rRNA from 1 species